UACGUAUACUGAAGGUGUACCGGA
rnacentral:miRNA from 1 species